rnacentral:rRNA from 1 species
GGGCCAGCACAAGCGGUGGAGCAUGUGGUUUAAUUCGAUGAUACGCGAGGAACCUUACCAGGACUUAAAUGUAAGUUGCAUGAUUCAGAAAUGAAUCUUUCUUCGGACUACUUACAAGGUGCUGCAUGGUUGUCGUCAGCUCGUGCCGUGAGGUGUCAGGUUAAGUCCUAUAACGAGCGCAACCCCUAUCGUUAGUUGCCAUCAAGUAAAGUUGGGAACUCUAGCGAAACUGCCGGUGCAAACCGUGAGGAAGGUGGGGAUGACGUCAAAUCAUCACGGCCCUUACGUUCUGGGCUACACACGUGCUACAAUGGCCGGUACAGAAAGCAGCCACUAUGCGAAUAGGAGCUAAUCUUUAAAACCGGUCUCAGUUCGGAUCGCAGUCUGCAACUCGACUGCGUGAAGCUGGAAUCGCUAGUAAUCGGAUAU